UGAGAAUGGAAGCAGUACAGAAGAAAGAAAGGAUAAUAAAGUUGAAAAUGAAGUGGAUGGGUAUGAUAACCAGAAAGGAAAGACGAAAAUUAAUGAGAAAGGAAAGACGGAAAUGAAUGAGAAAGACGGAGAGAAGGGUAAGGUGGAAAGCUGUGUCCAUAGUAAUAGACCUAGGAGAGCAGCAGCUUUGGAUGCACAUUGGAGAACACAAGUCAUGUUUGACCCUUACAGGCUCAAAGGGGGGAGUGUGUAGAAUAAUUUGUAACAUUAUACUAUUAAUAACGCCGUAUAGGAGACCAAACAAUGAGUGGUUUAAUUGAUUGACGUAAGAAAUGUAUCGUAUGUCAUAAAUAAUAGACUUCGAAUUGAUUGUCAGACUGAAAGCACGAGAGAAAACCAGAAGGAU